rnacentral:rRNA from 1 species
AGUGAACGCUGGCGGUAGGCCUAACACAUGCAAGUCGAACGGCAGCACAGUAAGAGCUUGCUCUUACGGGUGGCGAGUGGCGGACGGGUGAGGAAUACAUCGGAAUCUACUUUUUCGUGGGGGAUAACGUAGGGAAACUUACGCUAAUACCGCAUACGACCUACGGGUGAAAGCAGGGGAUCUUCGGACCUUGCGCGAUUGAAUGAGCCGAUGUCGGAUUAGCUAGUUGGCGGGGUAAAGGCCCACCAAGGCGACGAUCCGUAGCUGGUCUGAGAGGAUGAUCAGGCCACAUUGAAAUUAGAACACGUCCAGAACCCUAAGGGAAGCCGCAGUGGGGAAAUUUGGAAAAUGGGGGGAGGCCUUGACCCGGCCUACCGGGUGGGUGAAGAAGGCCUUCGGGUUGUAAAGGCCUUUUGUUUGGAAAGAAAAGCAGCAGGUUAAUACCCCGCUGUUCUGACGGUAACCAAAGAAUAAGCCACGGCUAACUUUGUG